UUUCUAGGUAGAAUUAUGAUGAUGACAUUAUCUAUCUAUUAGUCUUGACCAAAUUACGUGCCAGCAGUCGCGGUAAUACGUAGAAGACAAGUGUUAUUCAUCUUUAUUAGGUUUAAAGAGUACCAAGACGGUUAAUAAAGCCCAAAAGAAAUGAAUACGGGGGACACAUUAACUAGAGUUAUAUGAAAGGAAGCUCUUAGGUACUGUUGAGUGGAGAGAUGAAAUUUUAUGAUACCAGAUGAUUGGCACAGAUUUAUGCGAAGGCAUCUUCUUAUGUAAUAACUGACGUUGUAGGACGAAGGCUUAGGAAGUGAACAGGAUUAGGUACCCCAGUAAUCUAGGCAGAAAAUGAUGAAUGUCAUAGGUUCAAUACUGACUGGUUAAUUUGAUUAAAGAAUAGUUUAUGGUGAUAAAUUAACUAAUCAAUGGUGAUAAAUUAACUAAUCAGUCUAUUGUGUCUAUAAAUGAAAGUGUAAGCAUUCCACCUCAAGAGUAAUUUGGCAACAUUGGAACUGAAAUCAUUAGACCGUUUCUGAANCCAGUAGUGAAGUAUGUUGUUUAAUUAGAUGAUACACAAAAACCUUACCACAAUUUGA
rnacentral:rRNA from 1 species